ensembl:lncRNA
UUUAGAAAGAAACAGGAGGAAAAGAAGCUUAGAGAGAUAGUGGAGGCCAGAUUGCAUAGGACUUCUUAUGAGAAGGCAUGCAAGGCAAGAAGUGCAUAUUCUGAGAGUGCCUCACAGCUGGAAAAGAGUAGAAAUCAAAAGAGAGGCUUCAGAUUCAGACUUGUGCCCUGGUCCUGGUUCUGUUCCCUACUGGAUACCUGGUUUUGGCUCCAGCUUCAACCCACAGCUCCAGCUGGUCCAGGCUCUCCAGCAGGUGAUCCAAGCGGUCAGCCAUGGACAACAAGUGACAGAAGCGGCCCUCGUUGGCCUCUGAGAUAAGUUUAAUAAGAUCAUAGGAAUCAAAUGCUAAAAUAUAGACUAAAAUGUGAAGAAUGAUUUACUUUUUCUGUUUAUAUGUAAUAGAGGUUAUACCAGAUUGAUAUUAAAAUAAUAAUAAUAAAUUAAUCUACUAUUUAGUAAAGAAGAAUAAGGUGAGUUCAUUGUGAAGGGGUUUGGAGUGUUAAAGCAUGUGGAUGGGUGGAUUGCACAAAGGAAGGCUAUUGUUAUUGCUUCUUGGGAGAGAUAACAAGUCAAAAUCACUCUUGAAGAUAUAUACCCAUGAUGAUAUGCAGAAUUUAAUGAAACUGUGUUUUCCUCUUUUAAGGAUGUACCUACUCCACCUGCUCUUAUGUCUGGUCUCUGUUCUCCAACACUCCAUACAACAGGAUAGCAUUUCAUUGUCUGACUUAAACCCUGAAAGAAAAGAGGUACAGAAUAUAAUCCUUCAUCUUCACAAUGAAGCAAGGUCAUCAGUAACACCAUUUGCAAGUGAUAUGUUGAAAAUGGUAAGAUAAACACACAGAAGAAAAAAACUGUAAAAUCCUUCAUCAACAUUUCCUCUCAACCAAGAAGUAAACCUUUAAGUCUCAUUUCUAAUUAAUCCAUGUAAGGUUUUCUACAAACUUCAACUAAAUUCUAUUUCAUUUUCCAAGAACAUGCUCAUCACACCUUCCAUAAGCCAUUCUGUCCAUUUGAAACACCCACUUUCCUCUACACCAUCUCAUCUCUCUUGAUAGAAACCUUACUUGUAUUUGGA